UAGGGAAUCUUCCGCAAUGGACGCAAGUCUGACCGAGCAACGCCGCGUGAGUGAAGAAGGUUUUCGGAUCGUAAAGCUCUGUUGUUAAGGAAGAACGAGUGUGAGAAUGGAAAGUUCAUGCUGUGACGGUACUUAACCAGAAAGGGACGGCUAACUACGUGCCAGCAGCCGCGGUAAUACGUAGGUCCCGAGCGUUGUCCGGACUUAUUGGGCGUAAAGGGAGCGCAGGCGGUUAGAAAAGUCUGAAGUGAAAGGCAGUGGCUCAACCAUUGUAGGCUUUGGAAACUGUUUAACUUGAGUGCAGAAGGGGAGAGUGGAAUUCCAUGUGUAGCGGUGAAAUGCGUAGAUAUAUGGAGGAACACCGGUGGCGAAAGCGGCUCUCUGGUCUGUAACUGACGCUGAGGCUCGAAAGCGUGGGGAGCGAACAGG
rnacentral:rRNA from 1 species